rnacentral:rRNA from 1 species
GAUGAACGCUGGCGGCGUGCUUAACACAUGCAAGUCGAACGGUGAAAGAGAGCUUGCUCUCUGGAUCAGUGGCGAACGGGUGAGUAACACGUGAGCAAUCUGCCCCUGACUCUGGGAUAAGCGCUGGAAACGGCGUCUAAUACUGGAUACGAGCUGCGAAGGCAUCUUCAGCAGCUGGAAAGAACUUCGGUCAGGGAUGAGCUCGCGGCCUAUCAGCUUGUUGGUGAGGUAAUGGCUCACCAAGGCGUCGACGGGUAGCCGGCCUGAGAGGGUGACCGGCCACACUGGGACUGAGACACGGCCCAGACUCCUACGGGAGGCAGCAGCGGGGAAUAUUGCACAAUGGGCGAAAGCCUGAUGCAGCAACGCCGCGUGAGGGACGACGGCCUUCGGGUUGUAAACCUCUUUUAGCAGGGAAGAAGCGAAAGUGACGGUACCUGCAGAAAAAGCACCGGCUAACUACGUGCCAGCCGCCGCCGUAA